UUUCAAAAUUCAAACAUAGUUUGCAGAGUUUUCAAGCAGCAGAAAUAAAUAAGCAGAAGCUAGACGUCGUUGCAUGAUACCAUGAAGAAGCCAAUCAUGACAUCAAUGAUCCCUGUCCUCAUCAUCCGAGGAGGGAUCCCACUCAACCGUCUAACCUGGAGGAAGUUGGAUAGGCCAAGCGCCACUUAUAGUGAACUCGUUCUCAUUACCUGAAAAAGAGAUGCCACAAACAAGGCUGAGCGACUAUGCUCAAUAAAACUUAACCGACCGGUGGUACUACUUCCACCAACACCUAGACAUGCAGGCUCUUUGGCUGAGGGUUUGUUUUUACUAAAAGCAGCUAGAGUUGGUCCUUACUUUCAACGUUUUUAGCCACAAGUUCUAAAUUCAUUAACCAGUCUAGAUUUGCAUCCUAUACUAAGCAAGUAUAGUUCCAAACAAUUAAUUGACAAGCAUCAACAUUUAUAUCAUCACCAAGUUCCAUCUUUACUCAGUGCAGCAUAGCGAUCAAGUAGUCCCAAACUGUGAGAGGCAGACGAAUCGAUUCGAAUUUUCUUAAUCAUGCAUGGCGAACCUAAUCCCACGACAUCCGCGCACCGCGAAGGGUCGCUUCAUUUGUCAGCCAUCCACAUCAAUUCCCAGACCUGUGUCAGGCCCACUUCCCUUGGUGCAAGGCUCCAUAGACCCGGCCUCUGCCGUUCUAUGACUGCACUUGUCACCACAUGAUGCACCAGGGGAAAACUCAGUUUCCAGAGACAGUGGAACGAUCCGCUCACGUCCCGAUUCAAUCAGGUACUAGGCUUCCCCAACCCAUACUAGGUAUGAGAUUAGUACUUUCAAACACUUGAUCACGAACACCAUCAUAUCUCGACUUUAGUCUAAUUUCAAGUAGACAGAUGGGCAAACCACCGAGUACCAAACAUAAGCCCGGCCCCGUCCAUCGUCCUUAUAGUUGCAACAUAAGUAAAGCAAUCAACUCCUAUAACUCGCGAGUGACAGGAAAUCACUCGACUUUUACCAAGUCCUACUGAGCAUUGCAACUACUCGACUUAAUAUAAGUCGAUACUAGUGUUCAUAUCAAGGGUACUAAAUUCAUGCAUCUACGGUUUCAAUCAACUCCUAGAAUGUAAAUGCGCAAUCAAAGCAAUCAAUUGUGUUGCAAGUAUUUAAAGAUAGGAAAUCAUGCUCCGAGGCUUGCCUUCACAUGGGGAGUUAGCGAGCUGGUCCUCGGCUUGCUUCGGUAUGGGCUCGUCUCCGACUUGAUGCACACCCGCUACGGCUCCUUCUGGCGCUGGGUGAAGCUCGUAUGUCCCAUCAGCGAGGUUCAGCUCUACAUGAAAUGCAAAUGCAUCAAGUUCAACUUCCAUGCUUUCUCAUAUAGGAUGCAAAACGUGAAUUAGCACUGAAGUAUAAAAUUAAAUUAUGACCACAUUCAUCUAAACAAGGUUCUACACCUUCUUUAUCUGCAUAAGGUAAGGUGUGUUAUGGUGUAAACUCGGGGUUGACGUGAUGGUGAUUGUGUACAUAUAUACAACUUAACUUUAUUAAACUUCAGAGUGAAAAGUUAUCCUAUUCUGAAUGUUCUUUUGUACCUCUUCCGAAAAAGACAAUUAAAGGUUCUUUCUUCCCUUGAAUUUGGUUCAUCUCCCAAAUUUUAUUUCUAUUUUUAAACAGUAAGCUAUGAAAUUGAAACUUUACCAGCAACUUAACCUUGUCAUGAUUAAGCUACUGCACAAAUUUGAGGCCUAUUAGAGUUGCACAAAAAGAAAUUAAAAUUGUUUCAUUAUGAUAAGGUAGUGUGUGCUUAACUAUUUUUAAGAUAGAAAACAUAAUGAAUCUGGGUAUGAAAUUUUAACAGUAGGUUCCAGAGGUGAAAUAGAGCCUUUGGUGAAUUUUUCAUAAUUUUUAGUGAAGGGCAUCUUUUUCUCAUAUAUUACUCCUAUUUAUCUUUUCUCUAAAAAAAGAGUGGGUUUUAUUUAAUUUCAGAUAAGGUUUCAUACUUUCCUUGUGAACUAUACUUCAUCACUGAUCCACUCCAUGUGGUUUCAAAUUUUUAUCAUCUCUGGUUUAAUUAUUAUGCAAAAGACAAAAGCAGCCUUAGAUUUCCAUGAUAAAACUAAAACAGAGAUUUCAACAUCUGAGCUAGGCUCCACAUCAUUUUUAUAAGCUUUCAUUCUCUGAAACAAACACUUGAGAGUUAGAUUUACCAUUUUAUCAUUUUUUGCAAUUUACUAUGAUUUAAAUGUCUUAAACAAGGAUUAAAACAUAUAAUAUCAAUCCUAGUAGAGACAUAUGCCAAAAGUAUUUUUAUUAGAAACUACACUUUACAAUGAAUCUAGCAAAAAUGAUUUGACAUUUUUCUGAAUUUUCUAUGAGUUUUGGUGAAUUUCCAAAGUUAAAUACAUUUUUUGCCGAUUAUAAAACAAAAACCGAGGUAAACUUGCGAUCUAGCCCUCGCGUCUAUACUUUAUUUGCGUUGGGGUCUCUGGUUUUUGCACAAAAGCCUCUGAUUCGAUUUUCUCAAUUGCAAUUGGGUCCCUGAGCGGCGCACGGCGGCGGGCGGGCAAAAUCCCGGCGAAGCGCCGGCGGGCUUGGGGCGGAAAGAGGCCAGGGAGGGUCAGGGCUCACCUGUGGUGCGAUUUGAUGCGAGUUGGGGUGAUGGGGAGGUCCGACGGGGGCAGAACGUGGCGGCGGACGGCGUGCGGCGUGGUGGCGACGGGCGGCGGUGUUCUGGCGGUGGCGGCACUCUUCGUGGACAACGGACGGGCUCUAGAGCUGCGCAAGGGGGAGGCGAAGCGGCUGGGGCGUCGGCGAGGGGUGGCACGCGACGGGGGCCGGCUCUCCACGGCGAGUCUGGGCAGCGGCGUGCUUAGGCGGAGCAAGGCGAAGCUAGGGCGUGCGGCAAGGGCGAUUGCGAUGGGGAAAGCGGGCACGGGCAGUGCUAGCGAGGCUUUAUAGCCAUGGCGAGCUCCGGCUACAGCUGGGGCUAGAGAGGAGUGGGGCGGUGAGGCUAGCGGGUGGCCUUGGCCGCCGCGGCGGCCAUUGGCGCAGGGGCGCUGCACGCGAGGUGCGGCAGGAUAGGGUGGAGGCUCACGUGCGCAAACGAGCGGGGCCGUCAGGGAGGCGCAUUGGUGAGGCUUGGCUCCUGUGGCGUCUUGUCAUGGGCGGGCGUU
rnacentral:lncRNA from 1 species